GGUGGAGUGGCCGAGUGGUUAAGGCGCUGUGUUUAGGCCGCAGUGGGAAACCGCGCGAGUUCGAAUCUCGUCUCCAUCA